CCUACGGGAGACAGCAGUGGGGAAUAUUGGGCAAUGGGCGCAAGCCUGACCCAGCAACGCCGCGUGAAGGAAGAAGGCUCUCGGGUUGUAAACUUCUUUUCUUAGGGACGAAGAAAGUGACGGUACCGGAGGAAUAAGCCACGGCUAACUACGUGCCAGAAGCCGCGCGAAUACGUAGGGGGCAAUCGUUAUCCGGAUGUAUUGGGUGUAAAGGGCGUGUAGGUGGGAGCGCAAGUCAGAUGUGAAAACUCAGGGCUCAACCCUGAGCCUGCAUUUGAAACUGUGUUUCUUGAGUGCUGGAGAGGCAAGCGGAAUUCGGUGUGUAGCGGUGAAAUGCGUAGAUAUACGGAAGAACACCGGUGGCGAAGGCAGAUUGCUGGACAGUAACUGACGCUGAGGCGCGAAAGCGUGGGUAGCAAACAGGAUUAGAUACCCCAGUAGUC
rnacentral:rRNA from 1 species